CCUACGGGAGGCUGCAGUGAGGAAUAUUGGUCAAUGGGCGCGAGCCUGAACCAGCCAAGUAGCGUGAAGGAUGACGGCCCUACGGGUUGUAAACCUCUUUUGUCGGGGAGCAAAGAGAGUCACGUGUGGCUCAUUGAGAGUACCCGAAGAAAAAGCAUCGGCCAACUCCGUGCCAGCAGCCGCGGUAAUACGGAGGAUGCGAGCGUUAUCCGGAUUUAUUGGGUUUAAAGGGUGCGCAGGCGGAGGUGCAAGUCAGUGGUCAAAUUGCGGGGCUCAACCCCGUACUGCCGUUGAAACUGCAUCCCUAGAGUGCGCGAGAAGUAUGCGGAAUGCGUGGUGUAGCGGUGAAAUGCAUAGAUAUCACGCAGAACUCCGAUUGCGAAGGCAGCAUACCGGCGCGCAACUGACGCUCAUGCACGAAAUCGUGGGUAUCGAACAGGAUUAGAUACCCUAGUAGUC
rnacentral:rRNA from 1 species